GUCCACCAACAGGUGCACGGAAGAGCGUGGGGUCAUGUGGUCUCUCCCUGCGGCGGAAUUCCACCCAGCAAUAAGAAGCAGUGAACGGCGGCGGCUACGUAGGGAACCUGCAAACAGCGCUCCUCAGACACUGUGAGGCCGAAGUUGACGCCCAGAGAGCCAUUCCAGUGAGUUCCAGACCCAGGAGGGGCCCAUCAAGAAUCCAUCCCGUCUCUUAGCAUCUCAAGAGAGCAGAGCUGGCCUGGGAAGAGCGUCUCCCGAGGCACAAAGGUGAAUCUGCCAUCUGUCCCCUGGUCCUGCCCUGGGAUCACGCAGAAAAUUGCCAUCCUGAGCACGUCCCUGAUCCUCUGGAGGAGGCCUUCCCUGCAGGAUACCAGAACCCACCGGCUGCACCGGGUCGGGAGGCCUGGAGAAGAGGGAGGGGACACCCAGGCUCAGCCAAAUGAAGCAGCAUCCUCAGAGAGCUAGGUCCCACCUUAUUGACCUACCUGCCCUGGGGCAGGGUUGGGAGCUGGUGGGAGUGGGCAGCCUUCCGGAGGCGGCCUGUGUUUGCUCAGUGCUAUCGUCAGAUGCGAGGGCAGCUCCGUUUACCCAAAGGCAGGCGCCUUUAAACUCAUCCUUUCCGCAAACACCUAAAGGUUUUGGGAAUCGCUGCACAAAACCAGGGCCUCAAGCCGGCUGAGCAACGUGGCACUCCACCGCUGAGCACGCCCCAGAACUGGGACUUCUGUUCCCAUCUAGAAGAUGUUUUCCCACUGAGCUUACAGACUUUCUUGCAGACCCCAGGCUCUGGGACAAGAGGAGGUCCUGACUAGGAAGGGAGUCUAGCCACACACUUCUGGUGGGUGGCUAUGGUAGGUGGCCACUGAGAGUCCACCAGGCUGAGCUGAGGAGCCUGGGUGGGGAGGCUGCUUCUCCUUUCUCUCCAGGAUGGUGGAGGCUGGCAGGGCCCAUCCCCAAGACUGCAGGCUGGAGCAGUUUGCACAGGAAAUUUGGAGAGAAAGACCUUGGAAGUCAUCCCACCGAUGUUUGAAGGGAAGGGAGCUGUCAGGGGCAGGGCACGGAUGAUACUGUUUGCUCAUUGACCUAGCUGGUAUGUAGGAUUAACUUUUUAAAAAAUUAUAACAGUGCUGGGUGCGGUGCUGUGCACCAUUAGUCCCUGCUACUCAUGAGGCUGAGGCAGGAAGAUGGCUACGGCCCAGGAAUUUGAAGACUGGGCAACAUGGAGUAACCUCAUCUCAGAGAAAAAAAAGCAUGGGUAUAUAUACUUUUUUUUAUAUAUGAAAACUAUACAUAUAAUAUAUAUAUACACGAAAAUACACUUAUGCUUCUUAGAAAGUCAUUGCUAACAACAUGGGAAACGGCAAGGUCUCUUCGCUCAGCCUUCCAGCAUUCAGCUGUGGAUACGGGGUGUGUGUAACUAACUGAGUGGGUUCAGUGGACACACAUUCUUUCCCCCAUUUAGUCUCUGAUGAGGGAGGCAGUUAACCCCAUUGUAUGGAUGGAGGUUCAGAGAAGUUCAGCCACCACCCCAACAGUUACACAGGUAGCCAGUGAAUUUACACCUAGAUCUGACCUCAUGAUCUCAGGUGUGAACCCUAAGCCGCCAGGCAGGACUGCUGGUCUACCUGCAUACUGGGAAGAAAAUCAGUAAUGGACAUUGGCCACCUUGAGCUUCCUCGAAUCAGGUUCUGCCAUUUGCAAACUUCUCUGGGCCGAGUAGCGACUGCACCCAACUCAGGGAGUAGAGCGCUUCUGACUCUAGGGAGCUGGGGUCGGUGUGCUUUCUACAAUAGCCAGCUCCAGGACCCCAGAAGAGGAGAUUGUCGUGUGAUCUUUUCCUUUAAAUCUUGCACUGCUUGGUGCUCAGUUUUGCACAUUGUGGGAAGCACAGCGGAUCUAUUUGGCAAUGCCAGACUCUGUCCCCCAACAGCCCCCAAACAAACAAAACAACCUAACAGCCUCGUGGGAACUCAGGGGAAGACCCCCUGUGCACUCUGCAGCUUCUCUAACUUUGGUUUAGGUUUUUCUAUAGUGGAAUGGGAGUGGGGGGAGACAGUUCAAGGAUGUGGGGUCCUGGAGGUUUGAAUUGCCAGAGGCUAGUGGGGGAACUCAAGUGUAGGAUUGCAGCAGCAGGCCUGGUACUAAAGCAGCUUCAGCUGUGGCUGCAGCCACCCACGGCAGAAGAGUGCGCUAAGAGAUCUUUGGGGAACACUAAUGUUUUAAGGGACCUGGAAGACGGGGAGGCUGCUUAGAGAGGCAGGCACUCUAGUGUGCUGUUUUGCAAUACCCUCAGUACGGUUUUUGAAAAGACAGUGCAUUUACCCAUGCCUGGGAGAUGAAAAAGAGGACCUUGUGUUCAUUUCCUGGCUGAGUCUUAGGACAUUUGUACACUUGCCCACAAGUGCGUACAUGUGGAUAGAUUGCUCACACUGCUUUUGAGGGUUCCCAAGUAUGAAUUAAAAAAAGAAGAAAAAUGUGUGCUCUGAAUUAGAUCUAUGUUGGGGUGGGGAGGAAGAAGAGGAAGAAGUAGGAGGACCAGAAGCAAACUAAGCCCUGUGUCUGGGACACUGGCUCUCCUCCAGGACUGCGGGAGAGCUGGGUUUCAGCUUGUACAGAGAGAAAGUGCUCAAUUUCUCAAACCUGGAUUUCCUUGUCUGUUUUCCCCUAAGAUAUGAAUCUGAGCCCUCAAAUGUCCUUUUUGAGCAGGGCAAGCAUGUACAGUGUUGCCCAGAUCGAGAAACAGUUCAGAUCCAAAUAUUACCAUAGGUCUGGCUUCUUCAAGAAUUUCUUCCAUUUCUUUGGACCAAUAAAUAUUUAAAAAGUUCGAUUUUGAGCUCCAGAAAAGCCAAUCAAAAUAUUUUAAACAUAUGGAUUUUUUUUUUAAAUUGUGGUUAAACCACUCUCAGUAGAGAUUAGUUUACAACAGUCUUUUCUUUCUCUCUUUGCCUUUUUUUUUUUCUAUCUUCUUUCUUUC